rnacentral:rRNA from 1 species
UACAGAGGGGGCAAGCGUUGUUCGGUAUUACUGGGCGUAAAGGGCGCGUAGGCGGCCUUCUAAGUCGAAUGUGAAAUCCCCGGGCUCAACCCGGGAACUGCGUCCGAUACUGGAAGGCUUGAAUCCGGGAGAGGGAUGCGGAACUCCAGGUGUAGCGGUGAAAUGCGUAGAUAUCUGGAGGAACAUCGGUGGCGAAGGCGGCAUCCUGGACCGGUAUUGACGCUGAGGCGCGAAAGCCAGGGGAGCAAACGGG